GCGGAUGUGGCGAAAUUGGCAGACGCACUAGACUUAGGAUCUAGCGCCGCAAGGCAUGUGGGUUCGACCCCCUCCAUCCGCACAA
rnacentral:tRNA from 1 species